UUCAAGAAGAACUAUGGUCUGCGCGUAUAACGAAGUUAUAUUUAAAAUAAUUUUCAAAGUAAGGAAAAAUAAAUGUUACAAGGGAAUAACCGAAUGUGGAAAGUAAAGUGAAAAAGCGGAUUACCAACUUGUCUAUCGGUCCCACAGAUGCUUUCUGAGCUUAGCAGUAUGCUAUACGGGGAGAUCAGUUCAGAUUCGUCCAGCACCGAAUUCUAACAGGACGACCUGACUUUUAAUAAGCCGAUGCCAGUGGAGGUUCGAAGUCCGUGCAAGCAGUUAAGCAAACUAGACUCUUGUGAAUAGUAUAACCUGUACCAUCAGGGUUUGCCCUAGUCCGACGUAUCCCAGUCCGACUCGUCCCAGUCCGACUCUACAAGUGACAGUAAAGACUUCUACCGGAACGCACAGGCUUACAAUUACACGUGUAGCGAUCUCAGCAGUGACACUUAUAAGUCUUGAAUAGUCCGUAAUACGUGUCUAUCAUCCAACGGAUUUUACACGAACGUUUCAAACAGUGGUACCGGUUCUGAACACUGCGGAUUUGAAAUAAAGAGCGAGCCUCAUUGGGAGGAAGAGCCGAUGAGCAGGCGACUCACAUUUAAUAAUAACCAUCAUAUCGUGCAUAGCGGUGGCGGCGCCACAAGCGCCCAUCCGUGCGGCGUCCCGGAGGACCUUGGGCGGCAGCUGCUCAAGGAUUUGGGAUGGAGGUGUGGGAAGUGUGCCGGCAGCUGCAGAUUGAUGCAGCAAGACAAAGCAUGCGACGUUUUUCAAAAGUCGGACUUCUAAUUCUAGUUUGCCUUGUACCUGUUUGUGGGGUUGCCGAUAUUACCAUAGUGGGACCCCUGUAUGUGGGGCGUGACGUUUACAUCAAGUGUCGGUCUGAUGAAGCCAUUUCAUUUUCAGUAAAUCAAGAAAACAAAAUUAAAAGUAUUGGUGCCUGUACUUACGAUAACGAAUGUUUUUUGCAACCUGGAAUUCCAAAAAACACUUAUAAUACUAGUAGAUCGUCAGAAGAAAAGGCGACAAUUUUAAGAAUUAUGAACUUUGGCAUAGAACA